UGACUCCGAGUUUGCUCCUCCUUUAUUGAAACGUGAUCGUGGACCUACAAAGAAGAAAGCUAAAGUUGAUGUUCCUCAAAAAAUUUCCCCAUCUUCUGAUAAUAAGAAUGAGCAGGUUGAAGAUGAUUACGGGUUGGAGGUUUGUUUUCUGUUUCUUUUUAGUUUUCCCCAAAGGAAAAUACCCAGUUGUAGAAGAUGAUGACUCCGACUUUGCUCUGCCUGUAUUGAAACGGGGGUUGUGGACCUGCGAAGAAGAAAUUUAAAGUUUAUAUUUCUUAGAAAAUUUCCCCAACUUCUGAGAAUAGGAAAAGGAAGGUUGAAGUUGAUCAUGGCUAAAGACGUUUCUGGGAAAAAAGCUAAUGUUGGUGCUGAUGUUCGAACCGAGUUUAGAUCAUUGCAGGUCUUCUUUUCCAGUUGAUUUUGCCAGAAUUAAUAGUUGUAUUUUUCUCGUUUUGGUUUCAUUUUGGUUGUUUUGCGGUUUUGAAACGAGCGCGUAUUUUCAUCUUCAUGGUUCGCUCUGUACAGCUGAAGGCUUAGUGCAUGUGGUAUUUUUGUAAAUAUUUGUAUGUGGACUGUAUAAAUGUUUAAUGGGCCGGCCCAAAGUAUUUUUGUAAUUUUUUUUUC